UACGAAGGGGCUAGCGUUGUUCGGAAUUACUGGGCGUAAAGCGCACGUAGGCGGAUAUUUAAGUCAGGGGGUGAAAUCCCAGAGCUCAACUCUGGAACUGCCUUUGAUACUGGGUAUCUUGAGUAUGGAAGAGGUGAGUGGAAUUCCGAGUGUAGAGGUGAAAUUCGUAGAUAUUCGGAGGAACACCAGUGGCGAAGGCGGCUCACUGGUCCAUUACUGACGCUGAGGUGACGAAAGCGUGGGGAGCAAACAGG
rnacentral:rRNA from 1 species